UGGUCAUUGAUGGGUGAGAACAACUCUUCUUGAUAAUAUCAGUUAUGAAGUUCACAGCAAGAGUAUAGUGAAGCUAGUGACAUGCGGUUUCCAGUGCUCAUGUUGUUGCAGUAAAGAACAUGUGAUAAGUUAGUUAGCAAUUCAUUUUGGCAAUCACUUUAGAUUGAGUUGCGAUGAAGAGCAGUUGGAAUUGAGAUUUUGGGACUUAUUUUCGCUAACUUUCCGAUAAAAAUAUACGCGUGUUCUCAAAGUAAUACGAAGAAAACGAGCAAAGACCAUGAAGUGGAAACGUUUGCUCUCGCUUGCCACCAGCAGCGACAAAGCUAGCUGGUCUGAUAAGAAGCAUUCGUCCGAUGUCGGUGUGAAAUCCAUUCGACGUAAACCCUGUUGCAGCAAGUGCGCACUGAUAUGCAAGUGUAAACGACAUAAGCGCACUCUUCGUACGCUUCCAGCAGAUCAUUUUACAAGUGGUAUUUUACCAUAGAAUGCACGAUUGAGCAAUGAAUUGCAAGUGAUAACAAUAAAGCACAUAAGCCCU